GAUGAACGCUGGCGGCGUGCCUAAUACAUGCAAGUCGAGCGAACAGACGAGGAGCUUGCUCCUCUGAUGUUAGCGGCGGACGGGUGAGUAACACGUGGAUAACCUACCUAUAAGACUGGGAUAACUUCGGGAAACCGGAGCUAAUACCGGAUAACAUGUUGAACCGCAUGGUUCAACAGUGAAAGACGGUCUUGCUGUCACUUCUAGAUGGAUCCGCGCCGCAUUAGCUAGUUGGUAAGGUAACGGCUUACCAAGGCAACGAUGCGUAGCCGACCUGAGAGGGUGAUCGGCCACACUGGAACUGAGACACGGUCCAGACUCCUACGGGAGGCAGCAGUAGGGAAUCUUCCGCAAUGGGCGAAAGCCUGACGGAGCAACGCCGCGUGAGUGAAGAAGGUCUUCGGAUCGUAAAACUCUGUUAUUAGGGAAGAACAAAUGUGUAAGUAACUAUGCACGUCUUGACGGUACCUAAUCAGAAAGCCACGGCUAACUACGUG
rnacentral:rRNA from 1 species